rnacentral:misc_RNA from 1 species
GCUCAGUUCAGAUCGUAGGCUGCAACUCGCCUACGUGAAGUAGGAAUCGCUAGUAAUCGCAGGUCAGCAUACUGCGGUGAAUACGUUCCCGGGCCUUGUACACACCGCCCGUCACACCAUGGAAGUUGGCCAUGCCCGAAGUCGUUACUCCAACCCUUGUGGAGGAGGACGCCGAAGGUGGGGCUAAUGACUGGGGUGAAGUCGUAACAAGGUAGCCGUACCGGAAGGUGCGGCUGGAUCACCUCCUAACAGGGAGACAACAAAAUGUUUAAUAUUAUUAUUUUGUCACCUUGGGUCGAUCGGUAUCUCACGUUCUUAAUUAUUAAGAAUUUCAAUUCCUAAGUUUUUCUAGGUCACACCCAUUAUUUUUCCUGGGCCAUUAGCUCAGGUGGUUAGAGCGCACCCCUGAUAAGGGUGAGGUCCCUGGUUCAAGUCCAGGAUGGCCCAUAUCUCUAUGUUGGGGGUAUAGCUCAGUUGGUAGAGCGCCUGCUUUGCAAGCAGGAUGUCAGCGGUUCGAGUCCGCUUACCUCCACUGAUUACCACCUCUUUCAUAAUCUGUUAGAAGGAAAUGUUUUGAGUCGUGAUCAAAUUCUGAACGAAUCUAGCUUCCUAAUGAAUUCAUUAAGAUGCUGGACUCAUUGAAUUAAUUUCAUUGUUUUCAGAGAACCUUGACAACUGCAUAGAUUAUUUUAAAGACAAUAAGCAUCUUAAAUGAUGCAGAUUUAUUAUUUGUGCGAAUGC